UGACAUUUUAUUUACAGUCUAGCAGGAGA
rnacentral:piRNA from 1 species